AGCCUAGUGGCGGCCGGCUGAGUAACGCGUAGGUGACUUGCCCGGAAGUGGGGAAUAACGAUUCGAAAGAAUCGUUAAUACCGCAUACGAUUGUGGGCAUAGACACGUGCAAUCAAAGCCCGCAAGGGCGCUAUCGGAGAGGCCUGCGUCCGAUUAGCUAGUUGGUGGGGUAACGGCCUACCAAGGCGACGAUCGGUAGCUGAUCUGAGAGGAUGAUCAGCCAGACUGGGACUGAGACACGGCCCAGACUCCUACGGGAGGCAGCAGUUAGGAAUUUUGCACAAUGGGGGAAACCCUGAUGCAGCAACGCCGCGUGGAUGAUGAAGGCCUUCGGGUCGUAAAAUCCUUUUCAACGGGAAGAUACGGACGGUACCGUUGGAAUAAGCUUCGGCUAACUACGUGCCAGCAGCCGCGGUAAUACGUAGGAAGCGAGCGUUAUCCGGAUUUACUGGGCGUAAAGAGCGCGUAGGUGGUUCCCUAAGUUGGACGUGAAAGCCCCCGGCUUAACUGGGGAGGGUCGUUUCAAUACUGUGGAACUUGAGGGUGGAAGAGGAAACUGGAAUUCCCGGUGUAGUGGUGAAAUGCCUAGAUAUCGGGAGGACCCCUGUGGCCAAAGCCAGUUUUCUGGGCCCCUUUCUGACCCUGAGGCCCCGAAAGCGUGGGGAGCGAACCGGAAUUAAGAUACUUCCGGUAGUCCCCNCCCCUAAAACCAUGGGNNNNCNNGGGUGUGGUGGGGUAUCCGACCCCC
rnacentral:rRNA from 1 species